CCCCGGUAAACGGCGGCCGUAACUAUAACGGUCCUAAGGUAGCGAAAUUCCUUGUCGGGUAAGUUCCGACCUGCACGAAUGGCGUAAUGAUGGCCAGGCUGUCUCCACCCGAGACUCAGUGAAAUUGAACUCGCUGUGAAGAUGCAGUGUACCCGCGGCAAGACGGAAAGACCCCGUGAACCUUUACUAUAGCUUGACACUGAACAUUGAGCCUUGAUGUGUAGGAUAGGUGGGAGGCUUUGAAGUGUGGACGCCAGUCUGCAUGGAGCCGACCUUGAAAUACCACCCUUUAAUGUUUGAUGUUCUAACGUGGACCCGUAAUCCGGGUUGCGGACAGUGUCUGGUGGGUAGUUUGACUGGGGCGGUCUCCUCCUAAAGAGUAACGGAGGAGCACGAAGGUUGGCUAAUCCUGGUCGGACAUCAGGAGGUUAGUGCAAUGGCAUAAGCCAGCUUGACUGCGAGCGUGACGGCGCGAGCAGGUGCGAAAGCAGGUCAUAGUGAUCCGGUGGUUCUGAAUGGAAGGGCCAUCGCUCAACGGAUAAAAGGUACUCCGGGGAUAACAGGCUGAUACCGCCCAAGAGUUCAUAUCGACGGCGGUGUUUGGCACCUCGAUGUCGGCUCAUCACAUCCUGGGGCUGAAGUAGGUCCCAAGGGUAUGGCUGUUCGCCAUUUAAAGUGGUACGCGAGCUGGGUUUAGAACGUCGUGAGACAGUUCGGUCCCUAUCUGCCGUGGGCGCUGGAGAACUGAGGGGGGCUGCUCCUAGUACGAGAGGACCGGAGUGGACGCAUCACUGGUGUUCGGGUUGUCAUGCCAAUGGCACUGCCCGGUAGCUAAAUGCGGAAGAGAUAAGUGCUGAAAGCAUCUAAGCACGAAACUUGCCCCGAGAUGAGUUCUCCCUGAGACUUAGAGUCUCCUGAAGGAACGUUGAAGACGACGACGUUGAUAGGCCGGGUGUGUAAGCGCAGCGAUGCGUUGAGCUAACCGGUACUAAUGAACCGUGAGGCUUAAC
rnacentral:rRNA from 3 species